rnacentral:rRNA from 1 species
UACGAAGGGGGCUAGCGUUGCUCGGAAUUACUGGGCGUAAAGCGCACGUAGGCGGUUUCUUAAGUCGGGGGUGAAAUCCUGGAGCUCAACUCCAGAACUGCCUUUGAUACUGGCGAUCUUGAGUCCGGGAGAGGUGAGUGGAACUCCGAGUGUAGAGGUGAAAUUCGUAGAUAUUCGGAAGAACACCAGUGGCGAAGGCGGCUCACUGGCCCGGUACUGACGCUGAUGUGCGAAAGCGUGGGGAGCAAACAGG